GUUGAAGUGGCAGAGCCCGGUAAUUGCAAAAGACCUAAACCCUUUCGGCAGAGGUUCAAAUCCUCUCCUCAACU
rnacentral:tRNA from 1 species